rnacentral:piRNA from 1 species
UGUGCACUAUCAUCUUAGCAUUGUCUAA